rnacentral:tRNA from 1 species
GCCAGUUUGGCUCAGUGGUUAGAGCAUUGGCCUGAGAACUGAAGGGUCCUGGGUUCAAUUCCAGGCAAGGGCA